rnacentral:rRNA from 1 species
AACUAUAACGGUCCUAAGGUAGCGAAAUUCCUUGUCGGGUAAGUUCCGACCCGCAUGAAAGGCGUAAUGAUUUGGGCACUGUCUCAACGAGGGGCCCGGUGAAAUUGAAAUACCUGUGAAGAUGCAGGUUACCCGCGACUGGACAGAAAGACCCCAUGGAGCUUCACUGCAGCUUGAGAUUGAAUCCCGGUGACAUAUGCACAGGAUAGGUGGGAGGCUAAGAAGUAAUGCCUUUGGGUGUUACAGAGCCGAUGUUGGGAUACCACCCUUAUGUUGCUGAGAUUCUAACACGGAGACUAACAACCUCGUGGACCAUCUCAGGCAGGCGGUUUGACUGGGGCGGUCGCCUCCUAAAAUGUAACGGAGGCGCCCAAAGGUUCCCUCAGGCCGGACAGAAACCGGCCGAAGAGUGCAAAGGCAGAAGGGAGCUUGACUGCGAGACAGACAAGUCGAGCAGAGACGAAAGUCGGGCUUAGUGAUCCGGUGGUACUGAGUGGAAAGGCCAUCGCUCAACGGAUAAAAGCUACCCUGGGGAUAACAGGCUAAUCUCUCCCAAGAGUUCAUAUCGACGGGGAGGUUUGGCACCUCGAUGUCGGCUCAUCACAUCCUGGAGCUGGAGUAGGUUCCAAGGGUUGGGCUGUUCGCCCAUUAAAGUGGUACGCGAGCUGGGUUCAAAACGUCGUGAGACAGUUUGGUUCAUAUCCAUCGCGGGCGCAAGAAGUUUGAGGGAGGCUGCUCCUAGUACGAGAGGACCGGAGUGGACGGAUCAACGGUGUACCAGUUGUCACGCCAGUGGCACGGCUGGAAAGCCGCAUCCGGAAAGGAUAAACGCUGAAAGCAUCUAAGCGUGAAGCCCGUCCCGAGAUGAGACUUCUCAUCAGCAAUGAGUAAGACCCCUUAAAGACGAUGAGGUUGAUAGGCUGUGAGUGGAAGUGGCGCAAGUCAUGGAGCGACGCAGUACUAAUAGGUCGAGGUCUUAGCUUA